UACGUAGGUCCCGAGCGUUGUCCGGAUUUAUUGGGCGUAAAGCGAGCGCAGGUGGUUUAUUAAGUCUGGUGUAAAAGGCAGUGGCUCAACCAUUGUAUGCAUUGGAAACUGGUAGACUUGGGUGCAGGAGAGGAGAGUGGAAUUCCAUGUAUAGCGGUGAAAUGCGUAGAUAUAUGGAGGAACACCGGUGGCGAAAGCGGCUCUCUGGCCUGUAACUGACACUGAGGCUCGAAAGCGUGGGGAGCAAACAGG
rnacentral:rRNA from 1 species